CUUCACAAAUUCAACCGUGACGAGCAUGUCGAAGACGACAUUGUCUGGAAGCACACUACGGAUGGGCACUACACCACGGCUUCCUCCUACAAAGCGCAAUUCUUGGGCAUGACUCUCUCCCUUAUGGACCAAAUGCCUUGGAAAGUUUGGGUCCCACCAAAAGUCAAAUUCUUCGCUCGAUUAGCCAUUCAAAACCGCAUUUGGACAGCCAGUCGAUUGGCCAAACAUGAGGUUCGCUCAUCCGGAUCAGUCCGCGUACAUCCAAGGAUGGUAUAUUUUGGAUGGGGUCCUUGUCUUUUACAAGGCCAUACAUGA
rnacentral:rRNA from 1 species